rnacentral:rRNA from 1 species
GUCCACGCCGUAAACGUUGAUUACUAGUUUUGGCGAUAUACAGUCAGAGACUAAGCGAAAGUGAUAAGUAAUCCACCUGGGGAGUACGAUCGCAAGGUUGAAACUCAAAGGAAUUGACGGGGGCCCGCACAAGCGGUGGAGCAUGUGGUUUAAUUCGAUGAUACGCGAGGAACCUUACCAGGGCUUAAAUGUAGAAGGAAUGAUGUGGAAACAUGUCAGUCUUCGGACCGUCUACAAGGUGCUGCAUGGCUGUCGU